rnacentral:lncRNA from 1 species
ACCUGGCCCGCGCUCACCUUGAGGCCGCGGAUCUCGCCGAGGUGCAGCUGCAGGCGGCGGUUCACCUCGCGGAUGAGGUUGCUGUGGUCCAGCAUCGCGCUCACCUUCUCCGCCUCGGCGCGCCGCAGGCUGCGGAUCAGCUCCUCCUUGCUCCACUGCAGCAGCUCCUCGUCCGACACUUUGGACAGGUCCUCCACCGGCGCGGGCGGGGCCGCGGACGAGCCGGCCGGGGCUGGGGAACAACUUUCCGCCGCCGCCGCAGCCGCCGCCGCGCCUCCGGCCGCCUUCGACAUGGUAUCCGCGGGGUGGCAGGUGCAAGUGGGUGGAAGAGGCGAGGCGACUCCCGAAGGCGCGGGCGCGGCGAGGCCGCCUCCGCCCACACCCCUGUGCGCUCCGGCGAGUCAGCGGCACCGCCCAGGGGCCGCUGGGUUGGGGCGGCGGGGGUCGCGCUGGGUGGCCAUCCUACCUCGCCAUCCCCGCGCGCGCGCCCGCGCUCCCCCAGGGCCCGGCAGCCAGCCGCUUGCUGCUGCCGAGGCCCGUCCCAACUCCGCGCAAGUCCAUGGUGAGGGGCACUGGGGAGCCCGGGGCUGCCGCGGGAAAUCCUCGGGGACAGCGGGGGAGCUGCACCGCCGUUCCCCUGCCCUCUCCUCCGCCCUAAGCCGAGACUGUCGCCCCCCGCACUCUCUGCCCUGCACACAGGCGUGCACGCACACGCACUUUCCUCCCCCUUGCCCAGCUGCAGCCCCCGGCUUCUCCCCUCUCCUAGCUUGGAGGGCGCGCCGGGCACCGCGGCGCCUCCCCGGCUGCUCUAGCGACGCCGCCGCGGCUGCCCGAAGGCUGCUGCGCUCCUCCUGCCGCCUUCGCUGCGCCCGCGGCCGCUCCUAGGCUGCUCCGGAAAGCCUUCGAUUUGCAGAGCGGAGUCGAGAAGGGGUGGAGGGUGGGGGACCGGCUGGAGGAGGAGCCUGGAGCUGGGGCCACCCGUAACCCGCAGCAGCUCCCGCAUGGGCUGGACGCAGCUGCCACUCGACCGCUGCCCGGGCCCUCGAGGUGCGCUCCCGGCUGUCCUGCCCGGGAGGGCUGGGGGCGCGGCUCUUUCUGCGCCCGGGCGGGUGGGGCUGGAAUGGGGAGAAGGUGAGGAGCUGUGGCCGCCCGGUCUUUGGGAGGCUCGCGCGCGCCACCGUGUGGCGGAAGAAGCUCCCUCCUCUGCCCUCUGCACACCGGCCUUGUCACCAGGCAGGGGAAACAGCUGCUGACCCAAAUGCGAGGUGCUUCGUAUUUGGAGGGAUCGGGGAUCAGGAAAGAUGGGGUAGCAGGACCUGAGGGAUAACCAGUUAUUUGCACUUUGGAGAAUGGGAGGAGAGGCAAAUGGCAAAAACGGGGGUUGGGGAAAGGGGCAGCUUAAGAAAAUCCAAAUGGUCUGAAAAGGGCGAAAAGAGGCGUCAGGGCACUGCUCUUAUGGGGCUACCCAUCCCCACCCCCCACUCUCGCCCCACCCCUAGGCCUUUGUGUUUUCUAAAAAUCCACUACUCUAUGAAGAAGCUUCGGGAGAAGGUACUGGAUCUUUUAAAUUUUUAUUUGAAAAAUAUCAAAGCCUUUAGGCGAAAAUAAAAUACCUUCAUCUCCUGCUUCCUGAAACCUGGAUUUUAAGGUCAGCACAGUCACCUCCCCUCGGAGCAAAGCAAGCCCCCUCAGGCAAGCUGAAAUGCCAGCCAAGGAGAUUUCCAUUUUCUUCUAUGCCGCAGGCUGCCAGGCGUUUACUGGGUCGGCUUUUUUAUGAUGGUUAUUUCUGGAAGGAGGAAGUCUGAGUCCCUGGCUUCUAUCUUUGGGCUAUCCUCUUGUAAAGUUGGGUGGAAUCGUCUCUGGGCUGAAAACAUGCUUUUGCCUAAAGAGGUGGAUGCCCUUGACCACCGCAUGUUAUUUCCAGUGGGGUACAGGGCCGGAAAAUGGCAAGGAUCUACCCCCACCGGGUUUCAGUUAACCCGGGUGCAGAGGGAAUAAUCUCUAUCUGGUAGGAUGAUAAUCAAAAUCAGUCCCUUCACCCGCCGGUCAGUGCGUGUCCCCUAUUGGGGACACUGAGACCUGGCUCCCGGGAGAGGCAAGGAAAUGUGGUACUGCUUACGGUGACCAAAUGGCCUUAACAUUCCCCUCAGCUUAACUAAACUUUAGACAGGUUUCUUCCUAACUGUAGGCCCCAGACCUUCCUUUUCUCAGAGCAUUUACUUUAGCCAACUUCCAUUGGUGAAUGUUUCCUCUGACCCUUUGACAUGUAAAUCUCUCCGCCUCUUGCUGGGUUUUACAGCCUGGGGAUCUUUCUCAGGGAUCUGUGAGGCAUCCCUUUGAAAUGUAAUCAUCAAGGAAAAAAGGGUCCCUAUCUCCUAGUGUUUGUGGAGAGGAGGAGCCUAACUUUAAUAAGUUCCAAUUAGGAAACACAAAUGGCCUCAUUACACUGACCAACUUCCCAUCCUAAUCUCCUCCACUAGUCUUCUACUAGUUCCCCUCUCCCUCCCUCUCUCUCUUCCCUAUUGCAAUAGCCUUGAAUAAUUCCCCCUUGUCUGUUUAACUAUAUCGGAUGCAAUUUUUCUUUGACACCUCCAAGCCGCUCUCACGCCCACAGAAGGCUCUGCUCAACACAGUUCCUAAGACCAGUUUUGUCACAGAAAGGGAAAGUGAAGGUCAGAAAAAGAUAAGUCCUAUCUCUGUUACUUGUUAGUUCUUGUCCUUGAACAAACCAUCCGACCUUACUGGCCCUCGGGCAGCUAAUGAUAUGGUAUACAAGAAGCGCUUGAUCGAGCCACCCUACAGAAAUGCAACCUUACUAUUACUGAUAUUACAUAUUACAUUGGGCAGCCUCUUGUCUAGAAAUAGGAACCAGGACUUCUGUUUAUUCCUCCAUCACGGGUUCUUCAAGAGUCGUAUUCUAAAAUGAAACAGCCAGCCCCCUUCUCUGCUAACUCCCUCUGAUCAGUUAACACCAAAUAGAUAUGAGAAAUCAGAGAGAUGGCUGAGAGGAAAAAUUAGACUUGUGUUGGGAAGACAAGGAAGAAGGAAAGCCAAAAAAAAAAAAAAAGUCUCCACAAAUUAUAUACACUAGCAGUGGAUUACAGUUGAGCUAGAUCACCUUAAGGUUUUCAUGUUUCUAAUUUUGGUCAUUGAUUCAGAAUAAUAAUUAUCUGCAUGAAUGAAUAAUGUUGCUUCAUGUUGCUAAGGUCAUGUAUGGUGUCAGGAGCUUCAUUUGACUGCUAAAAACAGAAACUCAAAAAACAGUCACUUUAAAAAAGUCAUUUAUUUUUUCUCACCUACCUGGUAUUCUAAAGAGAGGCAGCUGAGGGCUGGUAUGGUAUCUUCAUGAGGUCGUCAAAAUCUUAGGCUCCUUCUCUCAGCUCAGUCCCCUUUGGGAUGAUUGCCUCGUGUCCAUAACAUGGUUGGUGGAACUCUAGCCAUCCAGCUACGUGUAAGGCAGGAAGAAGGUAAUAACAACUGCAAAGGGGCACAUGCCCCUUUAAAAACUUUUCCUGGUGGCCGGGGGCGGUGGCUCAUAACUGUAAUCCCAGCACUUUGGGCGUCCGAUGCAGGUGGAUCAUUUGAGGUCAGGAAUUCAAGACCAGCCUGGCCAAUAUGGUGAAACCCCAUCUUUACUAAAAAUACAAAAAUUAGCUGGGCAUGGUGGUGCGUGCCUAUAAUCCCAGCUAUCGGGAGGCUGAGGCAGGAGAAUCGCUUGAGCCUGGGACGCGGAGGUUGUGGUGAGCCAGGAUCGUGCCACUGCACUCCACUCUGGUCGAAAGAGUGAGACCCUGUCUCAAAAAAAAAAAAAAAAAUCCUGGUAAUUGACCCAGUGAAUUUUGUUUAUGUUCUAAUAGGCAGAGCUUACCAUAUAAUCACCUCCCAGCUGCAAGGGAAGCUAGGACAGUGUUUUAAGUUGGGUAUAUUAAAUGGAGAUUUCUGAAAACCAGCCAUAAAUGACCCUACGUCUUUAGUCCUGAUGGUUUUAUAUCAUAUAAUUUUCUUCAGUCAACUCUAUUUCCCCCCAGCUCACUGUUACUCAGCCUAGGUUCUCACUAAGUCUCACCUGGCCCUUCUCACUGGUCCCUCUGACUACUGCAUCACCUCUCUCGAAUCUGCUUUCCACACAACUUCCCAAGUGAAUCAUCUCAAAAAGUCAAGUCUAGCUACUUUACCCCUGAGACAGAUUGAAUUAUUGCUGAUAAUUUUUCACAACCUCCCUACAAAAUUAAUUAACAUCGGCCAGGUGUGGUGGCUCACGCCUGUAAUCCCAGCUCUUUGGGAGGCCAAGGCGGGUGGAUCACGAGAUCAGGAGAUCUAGACCACCCUGGAUAACACGGUGAAACCCCGUCUCUACUAAAAAUACAAAAUAUUAGCCGGGCGUGGUGUCGGGUACCUGUAGUCCCAGCUACUCGGGAGGCUGAGGUGGGAGAAUGGCGUGAACCCAGGAGGCGGAGCUUGCAGUGAGCCAAGAUAGCACCACUGCACUCCAGCCUGACGGCAUAGCGAGACUCUGUCUCAAAAAAAAAAAAAAAAAAAAAUUAACAUCACCUUCCACCAUGUGAUGUUGUAGCACCUCCCCUACAGGGGGCAGUUUUUCUCCCCUCCCUACUGGUAUUGAAAAUCAUAUUGCAAGCAUAUGACUUGCUGUACUAACGCAUGUGUGUGCACCUGACAGUGUACCCCUUCUCUGAAGAGGUCUCAAAAGGCGUCUGUCUGCCCACUCACCCGUCUGUUCUUUCCACGCUUCACCAGGAGAAGAGCUAACCUUGGGUAGCUGCUGUUCCUUCAGUCUGAGCCACACACUCAGCCACCCCAGCCAACCUGAAGAUCUGCAGCAUGAAGCAGAGCUAUGCUCACAGACUCACAGAUCUGUGUGUGAGAAAACAAGACUGUUGUUUAAGCUACCGACUUUUGGGGAGAUUUAUUGUGCAGCAUUACUAAUGCAAUAGUUAGCAGAUACAACUCCCCUGCCUAAAUCCCUUUGGGGGCAUCUCAGCACCUUUCUGUGGAGUGAAGCUACAUUUCUUAGCAGAGCAUGUAAGAUGGACACAGUCUGAUGCUUGCUUACUUUUUCAGCUCCAACUCCUACCAUACUUUGCCUGCCUCAUAUUUCAUACUUUUUCAGUUCUAAACUGCCUUGUAGCUCCCUGUCAGCAUUCAAUAUACCUCCGUACCACACUGAUGCUCUUUUCUCAUGCAUGAAAUGCCUUCCUUGCCUUAUCCUUCUGAAUAACUUCCAACCAGAUCCUUCAAAAGGCAUCAUCUUAUCCAGAGUGCUGGCAUCAGCCCACAUUUCCCUGGCAGAGGCAAAGGUACUAUGGCAGAAAUGGCCAGGGAAGGGUUUAUCUAACCACCAGGAGUACGCAAAGAAGAGAGGUCCAGCCAGCCUGCCUCUCAGAUUGUUAAGAUGCCAGGUGUCUUUUGGCUCAUGGAAACAGCUGUUCUGCCCCCUCCCGAACCCUAGACUCACAGCUACACUCUAUGGGUGGGACCAAAAUGCAAUUGCAUAUUUCUUUAUAAGCAGGAGAUUUCACAAAGAAAAGGAGAAGGCAAGAACCACAGAGGCAAAGAUUGGAGAGAUGUGGCUGCAAGUCAGGCAGUAUCUAGCUGCCACUAGAUACUGGAAGAGUCAAGGAAUGGACUCUCCCUGGAGACUCCAGAGAAAACCUAGCCCUUCUGACUCCUUGAUUGUUGCCUUAUAAGACUCAUUUCAGACUUUAGGCUGCGUAUGAGAGAAUAAAUUUCUGUUGUUUUAAGCCACAAAGUUUGUGACCACAAUAAUAAUAUAGCACCAUUUAUAACAAAGCACUAUGUUUUUAUCUGUAUUAGUAUAGUUAUCACCGUCUUUCUUACUUUAUACCUGGUGGAUACCUAUUGAUUUUCUUUUUAGAGGGCAGGGAUCUGUCUUAUUCAUGAGUGAAUACUCUGCUGCACCUGGGAACUAAAGUGUUUGCCAUAGGAGUGCAGUAAAGUUUGUUCAAAUGGAUCUGAAGCUCAGUCUCUGUGGUGCCCAUAUUCUUGUGUGCAUACAGGGAAAGGACAAAGGGAAGGCUGCUUCCUGAAGAGAUCUCCAUAUGGAAGAGCUGCAGAUCACAAACAACCCACACAGCCAUUGUAACGCCUGCUUGCCUGGUCACUUGUGUUUCUGAGAAGCCAUAACUCCAAGAAUAGCGAAGGGAAGAAAAUGCCAAAAAGCAGGGGCUGCCUAACAGGUCUGACUUGCAAGGCAAACUCCUGGCAGGCCUGGCCAGCUUCUGCUUGUCCCAGUGCAAUCCCACCCCCAUAGGAUCUGGAAUUUUUCAGUCCCUUUGCUAAGAUUCCUGAAAUAGACUUAAUGAAGAGCCUCAGAAGUGAAAAUUCCUCUUCACACAUUUGCUCAAGAAGAUUGCUUUUCUCCUAACACAGAAAUCAGCUGCCUUGAGGAUGUGCAAGUUUGAUUAGGGAGUCUGCUCUUGCCUAUUUCUCAAACGGUUCAGGCCCUGACAGAAUCAGUGUCACCCCUAAGGUAUUUGCUUCAAAUGCCCCCCAUAUAAUCAAAACUUAUAAAUGAUAAACCAAAAGUUGAGGUACACUCAUUGCCUUUCAGAAUGAAACCUUCCAAGGGGCCAUGAUCAUAUUGUGACUGGACAAGAACUAUCAUGGAUGAGGCACAUCAUCUUUUGGAACCAUCUAUGGAACAGAUAUUAUUAUUCCAUUUUGCGGAAGAGGAAUCUGAGGCUCAGGCCAGACAGAUGCAGCUAACGUUGAGUGGCAUCCUGAUGAUCACCUUCAUCACAAAAGGAAGGAGUGCUCUGAGGACUGUAGGUGGCUCUCAGAACCCUGACCUCCACGGCAGCCAUCAAGGAGUGGCAAAGGGGGUCCACAGUGGCAUAUGCAGUGAGAUCCAAGUUUUAGGCAUUCGGAGUAGAGCAAGCCACGAAUGAGAACAGGUUCUGAAAGUGACAGAAAAGGAGUCACUUUUUUGGUUCCAUAUGAACUUUAAGGUAGUUUUUUCCCAGUUCUGUGAAGAAAGUCAUUGGUAGCUUGAUGGGGAUGGCAUUGAAUCUAUAAAUUACCUUGGACAGUAUGGCCAUUUUCAUGAUAUUGAUUCUUCCUACCCAUGAGCAUGGAAUGUUCUUCCAUUUGUUUGUAUCCUCUUUUAUUUCCUUGAGCAGUGGUUUGUAGUUAUCCUUGAAGAGGUUCUUCACAUCCCUUGUAAGUUGGAUUCCUAGGUAUUUUAUUCUCUUUGAAGCAAUUGUGAAUGGGAGUUCACUCAUGAUUUGGCUCUCUGUUUGUCUGUUGUUAGUGUAUAAGAAUGCUUGUGAUUUUUGUACAUUGAUUUUGUAUCCUGAGACUUUGCUGAAGUUGCUUAUCAGCUUAAGGAGAUUUUGGGCUGAGACAAUGGGGUUUUCUAGAUAUACAAUCAUGUCAUCUGCAAACAGGGACAAUUUGACUUCCUCUUUUCCUAAUUGAAUACCCUUUAUUUCCUUGUCCUGCCUAAUUGCCCUGGCCAGAACUUCCAACACUAUGUUGAAUAGGAGUGGUGAAAGAGGACAUCCCUGUCUUGUGCCAGUUUUCACAGGGAAUGCUUCCAGUUUUUGCCCAUUCAGUAUGAUAUUGGCUGUGGGUUUGUCAUAGAUAGCUCUUAUUAUUUUGACAUACGUCCCAUCAAUACCUAAUUUAUUGAGAGUUUUUAGCAUGAAGCGUUGUUGAAUUUUGUCAAAGGCCUUUUCUGCAUCUAUUGAGAUAAUCAUGUGGUUUUUGUCUUUGGUUCUGUUUAUAUGCUGGAUUACAUUUAUUGAUUUGUGUAUAUUGAACCAGCCUUGCAUCCCAGGGAUGAAGCCCACUUGAUCAUGGUGGAUAAGCUUUUUGAUGUGCUGCUGGAUUCGGUUUGCCAGUAUUUUAUUGAGGAUUUUUGCAUCAAUGUUCAUCAGGGAUAUUGGUCGAAAAUUCUCUUUUUUGGUUGUAUCUCUGCCCGGCUUUGGUAUCAGGAUGAUGCUGGCCUCAUAAAAUGAGUUAGGGAGUAUUCCCUCUUUUUCUAUUGAUUGGAAUAUCACCAAGUCCAUCCUAAGCCAAAAGAACAAAGCUGGAGGCAUCACACUACCUGACUUCAAACUAUACUACAAGGCUACAGUAACCAAAACAGCAUGGUACUGGUACCAAAACAGAGAUAUAGAUCAAUGGAACAGAACAGAGCCCUCAGAAAUAACACCGCAUAUCUACAAUUAUCUGAUCUUUGACAAACCUGACAAAAACAAGCAAUGGGGAAAGGAUUCCCUAUUUAAUAAAUGGUGCUGGGAAAACUGGCUAGCCAUAUGUAGAA